rnacentral:misc_RNA from 1 species
AACCUUAUGGACCUGCGGGCGUAUACCUGCGGAAGGAUCAUCACUGGACAAUAGUCUAUAAACCGUGUGAACUGUAUGAGAGGGAGCGUUGGCGGGAGGGCGAGGCGGUGAGCCGAGCCCGUGUCUCCACUCUGGUGGGGUGCCCGCCACGUGCCCGCAUUUCCAACAGACAUUUCAGACAAGCCCAGCUGAAACAACAUUCUAAUCACAAUACAACUUUUAACAACGGAUCUCAGAUCG